UUAAAUUGAAGAGUUUGAUCAUGGCUCAGAUUGAACGCUGGCGGCAGGCCUAACACAUGCAAGUCGAGCGGCAGCGGG
rnacentral:rRNA from 2 species